CUUUGGCAACUAGAUGCAGUGCUAGGCUUCACUCUGCAAGGUGUUUAAAAAGAAAAACAGGUUUACUCAGGAUUUAUCAUGUAUGGAAAAAUGUAAUAUCUAAGUAGGCUGUCUGCUAAUGUCUGGCAUAAUGUUUCUUCAUAAUGGUUAACCCUUUUGCAGGGAGUGGAAUAAGAGUGCCUCUCUCUCUAGAUGGGAACUUUGCUUCAUGGGACAUUACAACUGUAUGCCUUAAGGCAGAAAAGCGCAUAAAGGUACCUGGGAAAGUAAAUUGCCAGAAGCGAAGAGCACCCCCCUUUCAAAAUCCUGUAAGUACUCCUCUCUCUCACAUCAAACCGACCCUAUGCAGAG
rnacentral:lncRNA from 1 species